rnacentral:rRNA from 1 species
UACGAGGGGUGCUAGCGUUAUUCGGAUUUAUUGGGCGUAAAGGGUACGCAGGCGGCAUGUUAAGUCAACCGUUAAAUCUUCCGGCUCAACCGGAAGCCUGCGGUAGAUACUGGCGUGCUAGAGGAUGAGAGAGAGAAGUGGAAUUCUCGGAGUAGCGGUAAAAUGCUUGGAUCUCGAGAGGAACACCGAUGGCGAAGGCAGCUUCUUGGCUCAUUCCUGACGCUCAGGUACGAAAGCGUGGGGAGCAAACAGGAUUAGAUACCCGCGUA